rnacentral:lncRNA from 1 species
AAUAAACAAAGGAAUGUGGACACUCGUAAGUGUGACUAUAAUUUUUCUCUUAUGCAGCUAUUUUCAAUCCUCUUUUUUUUUAUAAAAGUUCUGUCCAUUAAGAAAAAAAGACAACAAAAAUUAAGGUUGUUACCAUCCCCUCCCCAUACACCUCUCAUAGUUAUUUUUUUAAUAUGAUGUUCGAUAUUUUUAUUGAAGUUUGAUUAUUUUAAAUUAGUAUUGUGUUGGAUUUCAUUCAAGGGAGUAUUUUAUAUUAAAAACUUUAUAUAUUCAUGAUUCGAACUUAAAACUCUGAUUUAGAAAAAUACAGCCUCAGUGCAUCACAUUCUUUGAUGGUACACCCAUACGCACAACCUCACAAGUCUAUAUGUUCAUAACUCGAACUCAAAAUUUUGAUUAAGAAAAAAACAGUCUCAAUGCAUCACAUUCUUUGGUGGUACACCCACACACACAACCUCACUAGUCUAGUCUACUUUUUUUGUUUUCAUACCAAAAAAUAGUGAAGUCCAGUCAAACNNNN